UGCCAAGAGUAAAGAAUCAAUCUGAAGCUAUAAACUACAAUGGAACAAUUUUGCUACGUGAUAAGGACUAGUCUGCUUUCUUUUCCACGGAUGCCAAGACAAUCUAUAGAUGGUAAAAUAACUGAAAACGGGAUAACAAAUUAGACCUUAUACGUCAAGGCUUUCACUUUGCAGAAGAAAGCAAAAACAAUUGAACCAAAAACCUUUACCUCUUUCCGGUUGAUUACUGUCAGGUCUGUAUCAUCCAUGUAUAGUCUACUGUGCCUUACAGUAUAUCUAGGCUCUUCUUGAUCUAUAGUUCUGCUGAGGCGCUUCAACAGUUUAUGCAUCCACAGCAUGUUGUCUUCUCCAAUUUUUGCUAGGGGCAUCAAAA